UUCAGAUGUCUUAAUAUCGGAUGAUUUUCUGCUGAUACAUUGCUUUUGGAUGUGUCUUUCCCCUGUUUCCUCCGUGGGAGUUUGGCGGAGGACUGCACACUCCCCCCUCCCCUCCCUGCAGCUGCCGCGCAGUCUUCAGGAAAACCCCCCACUGUGACAGUCCUGGUGAAGUUCCAGGAAUUCCUGGUUGAAGUCUGUGGACAAGGUUGCCGCUCUACCUCCUGUGAUGCAACAACCCACCAGGGAUCCGCCAAUCAGCACCACAAAGGGAGCCAGUAACUGAUUUCCUCGAUCGGCCCCAAAGCUCCCUGUGAGGAAUGCUAACGGCUCACAGCCGGCAGUUAAUAAUUGCCCCAAACGGUGGGCAGGACUGCCCUGCUCUGGGAAAGCUUAAGGCAGCACUGGAGAGAACGUCAGGGGAAAAAGUAAAGAAAGAAAAUGCAGAAAAGACUCACCACUCAGCAGGCCUUGGAAAUGAUCCUGAGUGAAGCAAACCCUUGUGACUCGGAUGGAGAAGACAUAGAACUUCAGCCGGAUUCGGACUCAGAGCUGUCUGAUCAGUCUUCAGAUGAGGAGACUGCUUCUCAACCUAAAAAGAGAGCUCGUUUGGGGACUGACCUGACAGAGACAGCGAAAGAUGGCACAGUGUGCCGUGAAGAACAGGUGGGGACGCGUCUCCCUUUCACCCCAAUAGAAGCGUACGCCGCAGAUGGAGAGCCAACGGCUAAGGCCAGGAAAAGUAUCUCGAGUCGCCUUCAGAGCUUCCUGUGUUUCAUCACUCUUGACAUGCUUCAUAGCAUUCAAGAAUGGACUAUUCAACAUGCACAGCAAACAGAGCAUGUUCAUUGGUUCAUGGCCCUCCCUGAACUAAUGGCAUUUAUUGCAAUUCAUCUUGCGGGGGCUUACCAAGGUUCCAUCACUACGUGACUGCUGGUCAGCAAACCUGGGAAACCCACAGAUCAUUGGAACUAUGCCGCGAAACCGCUUCCAAGACAUCAUGCGACACCUUCGCUUUGAUGACAGGUCCACCCGCAGUGAUCGAGCAAAGACUAAUAAGUUCGCUGCAAUUUCCAGUGUGUGGGGAUCAUUUGUCACCAACUGCAUCAUGUCCUACAACCCUGGUCUACAUAUCACCGUUGAUGUGGAGUACACUGUCCGCACAGGAACACGGCGCUGGCCAGUUGCCAUGUUCUAUAAUAUGACUGAGAUGGCAGCAAUGAAUGCACAUGUACUGUAUCAAGCAUGCACCGGGACGCGGGAAAGACGGGUGGACUUCCUGGUGGAGCUUGCAAGAGAGUUGGCUAGCUCUCAUAUGGCUGCGAAGAAGGCAAGAGGAGAACAAUUGCUUCGGACACAACCCUCCACGCCUAGCCCUGGAAAAAGAGCCAUGUGCCAGGUCAAACACCAAUGCAAGAACAAUCAUGCCACUCUGCGAAGUGUUCACUGCUACAGAUACACAUGUGGUAAAUGCAGACGGGAGAUACCAUGGCAGUGCCAGGAUUGUGAGUGAUUGCUGAAAUGUACACACUCACUUUUUAUUAUUAUUUGUAAAUAUGUGUACAAAUGGUUGGUUAUUUUGUACUGUUUUUAUCAAUAAA